rnacentral:rRNA from 1 species
AAGACCUUGCGCUUUUGGAGCGGCCGAUGCCUGAUUAGCUAGUUGGUGGGGUAAAAGCCUACCAAGGCAACGAUCAGUAGUUGGUCUGAGAGGACGGCCAGCCACACUGGGACUGAGACACGGCCCAGACUCCUACGGGAGGCAGCAGUGGGGAAUUUUGGACAAUGGGGGCAACCCUGAUCCAGCAAUGCCGCGUGAGUGAAGAAGGCCUUCGGGUUGUAAAGCUCUUUCAGUCGAGAAGAAAAGAUUGUGACGAAUAAUCACAAUUCAUGACGGUAUCGACAGAAGAAGCACCGGCUAACUACGUGCCAGCAGCCGCGGUAAUACGUAGGGUGCAAGCGUUAAUCGGAAUUACUGGGCGUAAAGGGUGCGCAGGCGGCUUUGUAAGUCAGAUGUGAAAUCCCCGGGCUUAACCUGGGAAUU